GAGUAGGCCAAGCCUGGAAGCCAUCCCGCCCUUCCGACCCAAAGCAAAACAGCAGCGUCUGAAGGGCCCGCAGGAGGACUUUGACCACUGAGCCAACCAUCCCUCUUUGGAACAGAUCUUUGGCUCUGCGGAAUUUAGUGGUAUUUGUGACAAAAUAGGAGGAAGAGAGAUAGGGAUUAAGGCCAAGGCAGCUCUUUGGAGUUUCUGUAAAGCUACUAAUGACCAAUUCAGUGGUGGAACACACCACACAAAUUAUGGGAACAAGGGGUAGACUUACAGCAGGGCUAUAUUAGGGGUAUGUUAUGAAGAACCUCUCUCUGUGCAAUCAACGUUUAAGUACAUAAUGUGAGAGAGAUGGAUAUCGAUCCUUGUAACACAAUCUGUUCCUCUCCCUCUAAAUUAUACACGUUGAGGAAGUUUUAUCUAAUUUUCCACGUUGGGGAUCAGGGCUCCCAGGUUCAGAGACAACUCUGGCUUUGACAUCAGCUGGAGCGGCCGCUCUUCAGUAGGCCUGCUGGUUCUGCAACACAGGCGAGGCAAGGCAAUUCUGAAAGCUUUUUAACACACAUGUGGACCCAAACCAAAGAACAGAUCCUUAGGUGAAAGGUGCUAUAUAAUUGUCAAGUAUUAAGCAUAUCAGAUGUCAGUCACAACAGGAACAGAGUGUCUACAUUCCCAGGAAAGGAAGAAAAUUUCCAUGAGAGAAAUACAAAUAAUAGGUGAUGGGCAGAUAUUUUCCUUAAAAAAAAAAUUAAUCUAAAAACUCUUGUGGUACCCAGUCAGAUGGAGGUUGAGCUUGUCUGUUACCACAGGAGAAUUUCCAUAUAGGACAUAGACGUAUACAGUAUGGUAUUCCUGGUUAAGCAGGCAUUGCUCUGGCCUGGCGCAGCUAUUUUAAGCCAUCUCAGAUUCUGCCUGAAGGGUUUUUAUUUUUAUUUUUGGUGGAAGACAUUUCCUUUACCAAUCUGAGAAGAUCUGCCCUAGGGAGAAUCUGAGAUAUCUUGCCUGCUUUCCUUCUCCUAGCUCCCUCUUCAUCUUAUUUCUUAGAUAUUUUUCCUCUUGGGGAGUUGUUAUGCCACAAUUGCUGGUAUUUAUGUAAAAGGAUUAUUACUAAGUACAUUUCUUUAGGUUCAUUCUGGUUAAGGGGAUGUUGAGGGUGGGCCACCAAAUUGUCUGGGCUGGGGAUAAAGCAGUUGGCAAGCAAAAACUAUGGGAUGAUGAACUUUUCAAUUAUGAUUUAAUGAUCACAUGAGUAUAGAAAGCUGUUUUGAGUGCUGAAACAGACUUACCUAUCAGAUAUAUCCAAAAGAGAUUCUAUGUUAAAAAGUCAGACUAUGACUGGAGUGAACCAUGUAUUCCCUUGUCUUUUACUUUGUUUCUGUGACAUUUAUGUUUCAUGUAACUUGCAUUAUGUUGGUGGGUUGUCCUAGUACUGUAUUUGGCUUCUUCUUUAAUAGAUUGAUAUUUCAUAUACUAUAAUUGUAAAUAUUUUGAUACAAAUGUUUAUAACUCUAGGCAUAUAAAAACAGAUUCUGAUUC
rnacentral:lncRNA from 1 species